rnacentral:rRNA from 1 species
GAUAGAGGAUGCAAGCGUUAUCCGGAAUGAUUGGGCGUAAAGCGUCUGUAGGUGGCUUUUCAAGUCCGCCGUCAAAUCCCAGGGCUCAACCCUGGACAGGCGGUGGAAACUACCAAGCUGGAGUACAGUAGGGGCAGGGGGAAUUUCCGGUGGAGCGGUGAAAUGCAUUGAGAUCGGAAAGAACACCAACGGCGAAAGCACUCUGCUGGGCCAACACUGACACUGAGAGACGAAAUCUAGGGGAGCAAAUGGGA